AUGCUAAGAGCACUACAUACAAGAGGAAUAUAACAAGACUGUACUAACAGUUCAAGCUGAAAUAAAGAUGAAAUGUCAAGUGGUGUGAUACU